rnacentral:rRNA from 1 species
GACACGGCUGAGCGGUCCGCUUUCGGGUGAGUACUGCUUGGCUGGGUCUUUCCUUCUGGGGAACUAGUGUGCUCUUUACUGAGUGUGCUAGGGAUCCAGGACUGUUACUUUGAAAAAAUUAGAGUGUUUAAAGCAGGCUUACGCUUGAAUACAUUAGCAUGGAAUAAUAGAAUAGGACUU